UGAUAGUUCCUUACACAGUAAUGAUGUUAUGAACAUAGUAAGAAAGGGUCACCUGGUUUAAUUUUAUUAGUUCAUGUGUCAGUUGUGUAAGCUAAUCAUCAUGAGUAUGUGAAACAUUGUUAUUUUCAGGGAGAGUUUGUGUCCAUGGGUGUUAUCUCUGAUGGCAACUCCUAUGGUGUUCCUGAUGAUCUGCUCUACUCAUUCCCUGUUGUAAUCAAGAAUAAGACCUGGAAGUUUGUUGAAGGUCUCCCUAUUAAUGAUUUCUCACGUGAGAAGAUGGAUCUUACUGCAAAGGAACUGACAGAAGAAAAAGAAACUGCUUUUGAAUUUCUUUCCUCUGCCUGACUAGACAAUGAUGUUACUAAAUGCUUCAAAGCUGAAGAAUCUAAAUGUCGUCUUUGACUCAAGUACCAAAUAAUAAUAAUGCUAUACUUAAAUUACUUGUGAAAAACAACACAUUUUAAAGAUUGCGUGCUUCUUGGUACAGAUUUGUGAAUGACAGUUUAUCGUCAUGCUGUUAGUGUGCAUUCUAAAUAAAUAUAUAUUCAAAUG
rnacentral:sRNA from 1 species